ensembl:lncRNA
CAAAGAAUUGAGCAGGACACACAGCAGGAGAAAUGAAAGCAUAAAAGAUCUGUAUACUUCUCAGGGUGGGAGUAGGCCAGGGAGAAGAAAAUGCUCAUGGCACCAAAGAGUCUCUGUGUGGUUUUUACAAGAUGUAUAGCAGAGUGAGCAAGAGAAAAUUCAUGAAGUAAACUCAAUCACACACUGUUUACAAGGAUCAGUGCAGACUCUUUGGCUUCUGAUAGGGAUCCUUCUGGUGUAGACUCUUCAGCCUUCCUUCAGAGACCCAUCGGCCUCCUGAUAUGGACCCUCAUGAGACACUGCAGCAAGUGCCCGACUUUCAACUGAAUCUUUUGGUUUCCAGUGUGAAGACAGACCCUUGGGAAUCUUUCUCACCCAACUCUCUGGGUGCUCAUUAUUAUAAACUUGAUUUCCUAACCUCAUUAAAACUGUCAUAAACUUCAAGUGAACAAUAUUUGAUACAGAGAAAUAUCUUCAAUCAAAAUAGAGAGAUGUUAAGCAGAGUUUCAACCCUGAAGAAUUGGCAUUUGAACUUUCAAUUUUCCUUUCCUAUAUUUGAAUAUCUUUUCUGAAUUCUACUAAUCUCAGCCAAGCCUAUAUCCAC